rnacentral:misc_RNA from 1 species
GAUGAAGAACGUAGCGAAAUGCGAUAAGUAAUGUGAAUUGCAGAAUUCAGUGAAUCAUCGAAUCUUUGAACGCACAUUGCGCCCGCCAGUAUUCUGGCGGGCAUGUCUGUUCGAGCGUCAUUUCAACCAUCAAGCCCCAGGCUUGUGUUGGGGACCUGCGGCUGCCGCAGGCCCUGAAAACCAGUGGCGGGCUCGCUGUCACACCGGGCGUAGUAGAUUUUAUCUCGCUCAGGGCGUGCUGCGGGUUCCGGCCGUUAAAAAGCCUUUUUUACCCAAGGUUGACCUCGGAUCAGGUAGGAAUACCCGCUGAACUUAAGCAUAUCAAUAAGCGAGGA